UUAAUAUAAAAAAAAUUAUUAUUUAAACUAAAUCUAUCGUAAAUCUAUGUUAAAUCAUAUUUAAGCAAAAUUUUCCCCCGAUCCAUUAUUCGCUAAUCAAUAUUAUUCUCAACAGCCCAACACCAUUGAACUAGAAGCAACUCCAUCCAAUCAUUCAUCAUCAUCUUAUCAGCUACAAGCUAUGGCUCAUAGAUUGAUCCACAAAACAAUUUGUGAUGCAGGUAUGGUGACUAGUGGAAUCCAUUAGCAUGAGCUGUUCAUCACUUACUUGACAUUGAUGGUGAUCUUAGCCAUUUCUAGGAUGAACUAUCUUUAUUCCUUGGUCUUUUUCAACAAUUUGUCUCUAUAUAAAUGCCAAUUUGGGGACUAAGAACAACAAGAUCUUAUGAACAAGCUGCAAGCCAGAAAGGGAGCUCAAUCUACCUUUGAACCUUGUUCAUCUGAAAAGUCGGUCGAAGGAUAAAUAUAUCAAAACGGGGGCUUGUUUGAUUAGGAUAACUCCGCUCAGGAACUUCUAAAAUUCUGCUAAUUUGGUUGGCCCUAUGCCUUGACUUCCUGCAAAGUAAAGGCACGGGCGUUGAGUUUCCUAGAAAGUAGGCCAUUUGAACCAAUACAAUCCACACUUCUCUAUCGAGCUCUCCCUUUCUCUAUCGAUGAAGGAAAUGAAAAUGGAUACGCAAGUUCUAAG
rnacentral:misc_RNA from 1 species